rnacentral:rRNA from 1 species
GACGAACGCUGGCGGCGUGCUUAACACAUGCAAGUCGAACGGAAAGGCCCUGCUUUUGUGGGGUGCUUGAGUGGCGAACGGGUGAGUAACACGUGAGUAACCUGCCCUUGUCUUUGUGAUAACUUCAUGAAACUGGGGCUAAUACCGGAUAGGAGCUCCUGCUGCAUGGUGGGGGUUGGAAAGUUUCGGCGGUUGGGGAUGGACUCGCGGCUUAUCAGCUUGUUGGUGGGGUAGUGGCUUACCAAGGCUUUGACGGGUAGCCGGCCUGAGAGGGGGCUCGGCCACAUUGGGACUGAGAGACGGACCAGACUGCUACGGGAGGCAGCAGUGGGGAGUAUUGCACAAUGGGCGGCAGCCUGUUGCAGAAGGGCCGCGUGCGGGAUGACGGCUUUCGGGUUGUAAACCGCUUUCGCCUGUGACGAAGCGUGAGUGACGGUAAUGGGUAAAGAAGCACCGGCUAACUACGUG